UGGCUCUCGCAUCGAUGAAGAACGCAGCGAAAUGCGAUAAGUAAUGUGAAUUGCAGAAUUCAGUGAAUCAUCGAAUCUUUGAACGCAUCUUGCGCCCUUUGGUAUUCCGAAGGGCACACCUGUUUGAGCGUCGUGAAUCUCUCAACUCUUGUGAUUUAUUUCGCAGAGUUGGACGUUGGGCGUUGUCGGACUUUCAUUAGUACGACUCGUCUUAAAAUCAUGAGCGGUCGUCUCUGGCAUGAUUAGCCCGGCAUAAUAAUCUUAUCUUGUCGAGCAAAAGGCCAUUAGGGACGUGCUUCUAAUGAGUUUGGACCCAUGAAUCUUAGACCUCAGAUCAGGUGGGACUACCCGCUGA
rnacentral:misc_RNA from 1 species